AUUGAACGCUGGCGGCAGGCCUAACACAUGCAGGUCGAGCGGAUGACGGGGGCUUGCUCCUUGAUUCAGCGGCGGACGGGUGAGUAAUGCCUAGGAAUCUGCCUGGUAGUGGGGGACAACGUUUCGAAAGGAACGCUAAUACCGCAUACGUCCUACGGGAGAAAGCAGGGGACCUUCGGGCCUUGCGCUAUCAGAUGAGCCUAGGUCGGAUUAGCUAGUUGGUGAGGUAAUGGCUCACCAAGGCGACGAUCCGUAACUGGUCUGAGAGGAUGAUCAGUAAAACUGGGACUGAGACACGGUCCAGGCUCCUACGGGAGGCAGCAGUGGGGAAUAUUGGACAAUGGGCGAAAGCCUGAUCCAGCCAUGCCACGUGUGUGAAGAAGGUCUUCGGAUUGUAAAGCACUUUAAGUUGGGAGGAAGGGCAGUAAGUUAAUACCUUGCUGUUUUGACGUUACCGACAGAAUAAGCACCGGCUAACUCUGUGCCAGCCGCCGCAGUAAGAC
rnacentral:rRNA from 1 species